rnacentral:lncRNA from 1 species
CUUCACAUAUAUGCAGACAUAAAUGCAAUCAAUUCCUGGGCUCUUCUCCAUUUCAGAGCACAACAUAUUACAGUAAGAGUACACCUGCUCCUUUGUCUUUGUCCUGUUCAGUCUGUGAGAUGUGAGCUAGCAUCUUGGUGUGGCUGGCCCGAAGAAAGCAGUGACAGAAGUCUCCCAUUGGAUGAAUGCUCCAUUAUGGCCUCUGCUGACCAGCCCAACAGGAUAGCCCCUGUACCAGCCCCAGGGAUAGGCAAAGAGGAAGAGAUAACCUAUGAAGCUUCUUCACUGAGAUCACCCUUGUUGUGUCACUUCACUGGUUAAAAUGACCACGAGAGCAUCGGACAUCAUAGCCAUAUUCCAACCGCUAGAAAGAAG